UUAGAUACCCUAUUAUAUUUUUUCUGAACUACCGUGUGCCUGAUUAUUAAUAGCUAUAAUCUUCAAAAUCAAAGAAUUUGGCGGUGAUUUAGCCUUAUUAGGGGAACCUGUUUUUUAAACGAUAAACCACGUAGUAUCUUACCUGUUAUUUAUAGUUUGUAUACCGUCAUUAAGAUAACUUUUAAAAAAUAAGUUAUUAAAAUAAGUAAGUCUUAUUAUAUUAGAUCAAGGUGCAGCAAAUGAAUAGGUUAAAAUGGGUUACAAUAGAACUUGUCUAAUUACGGAGGCUCCUGUGAAACUGGGGGUUGAAGGGGGACUUAAAAGUAAAGUUGUUUUAAUAAGGAAACUCGAAUUUAGCACUAAAUCAUGUACAUAUCGCCCGUCGCUCGCGGGAAAAA
rnacentral:rRNA from 1 species